rnacentral:rRNA from 1 species
UCCCAAGGCUAAAUACUCCCUAGUGACCGAUAGUGAACCAGUACCGUGAGGGAAAGGUGAAAAGCACCCCGGGAGGGGAGUGAAAGAGUACCUGAAACCGUGUGCCUACAAGUAGUCGAAGCGCGUUCAUGCGUAACGGCGUACCUUUUGUAGAAUGGACCGGCGAGUUACGAUUGUAUGCAAGGUUAAGUGGAAGACACGGAGCCGUAGCGAAAGCGAGUCUGAAUAGGGCGAUUUAGUAUGCGGUCGUAGACCCGAAACCGUGUGAUCUACCCAUGUCCAGGGUGAAGGUCAGGUAACACUGACUGG